AGGAAGUCCAGGCAGAUAGCUGCAGUCAAGGCCAAGUGUGCCAGGCCAUCCACUCGGCGUACGCUAAGCCCCUGUCAUCAGGUGGCGGACGGACCGGGUUUCCUGCACUCGUGAGCCCUCCGGAAGUAUGACGGGACCCCGUGAUGAAGCCCACACAUCUUGUAUUUCAAGGUCCCGUCUGGGUAGCUCACGGGAACGGCCGAGGAGCUGCGGUGAGUCGGGGAGGUAGGGAGGAGGAGAGGGGGUCCACUCCAGUUUCAGCCGUGCCCAGUCACCUUGUCUCCACUUAACCUAGGCGUACCUCGUGACGGCAGCGUCGGCCUCGGAGCACGGCCGAAGCGUGCGGCCCGAACGCCAGGGCUCUCUUAGGAGAAGACGAAGAGAUAAGAGCCUGGUGACAGCUGGAACUUCCCAGACGGGG